rnacentral:rRNA from 1 species
GACGAACGCUGGCGGCGUGCUUAACACAUGCAAGUCGAACGGAAAGGCCCCUUUGGGGGUGCUCGAGCGGCGAACGGGCGAGUAACACGUGAGUAACCUGCCCUUGACUUCGGGUGAACUUCAUGAAACUGGGGCGAAUACCGGAUAGGAAUCCUUGCUGCAUGGUGGGGGGUGGAAAGCUUCGGCGGGUUUGGCUGGACGCGCGGCUUAUCAGCUUGUUGGUGGGGUUGUGGGUUACCAAGGCAUUGGCGGGCAGCCGGCCUGAGGGGGCGACCGGCCCACUUGGGGCUGGGGAUACGCCCAGGCUCCUACGGGGGGCCGGAGGGGGGGAAUUUUGCCAAUGGGCGGGAGCCUGAUGCAGCCACGCCGCGUGCGGGAUUACGGGCUUCCGGUUGUAAACCGGCUUCCGCAGGGGAGGAGCCUGUGGUGACGGUACCUGCAGAAGAAGCACCGGCUAACUACGUG